GACACCCUCGGGUGUAGGUGCAAGCUGGAGGCUCUGAUAUUUGGCAGUCUCGGCCACGUACACAGGCUUGCAGUGCAUGGCCUCCGGAUUGCGGGCCUGACAAAAACUAGGGAAAAGCUAUUGGCAGGCAUGCCAGCUAAGAUACAGCGAACUGCCAAAAUAAUGGAAACACUUGAGUAAAUGAGGCAAACUACCUGCCCUCCAGGACACCUACACCACCCGAUGUCACAGGAAGGCCAUAAAGAUCAUCAAGGACAACACCCACCCGAGUCACUGCCUGUUCACCCCGCUAUCAUCCAGAAGGCGAGGCAUGCCAGACUGACCAUGACAAGCGGUGACACAUCAUACCAGGGAAACCCUCAGGGAAGAAGACUAUGGAAAUCUCUGUCACUAUGAACGUGGUACCUUCAGGCGUUUGGAAAUUGCUCCCAAGGAUGAACCAGACUUGUGGAGGUCUACAAUUUUUUUUCUGAGGUCUUGGCUGAUUUCUUUUGAUUUUCUCAUGAUGUCAAGCAAAGAGGCACUGAGUUUGAAGGUAGGCCUUGAAAUACAUCCACAGGUACACCUCCAAUUGACUCAAAUGAUGUCAAUUCGCCUAUCAGAAGCUUAUAAAGCCAUGACGUCAUUUUCUGGAAUUUUCCAAGCUGUUUAAAGGCACAGUCAACUUAGUGUAUGUAAACUUCUGACCCACUGGAAUUGAUAUAAGUGAAAUAAUAUGUCUGUAAACAA